UGCGACCGAGUUGCUCCCCAGCGCUGCACUGAUGGGCCCUGGAAAGCAGGUGACUCCUGUCUCUCGCACCACCUGUGCCGUGUUUGGGUGAAAGAGGCAUGAGCCCCGGGAGCCCGCGUGUUAAGCUCCUGCUCUUCCUCCCGCUCUUGGCUUUCCCUGGAGCCAUUAUUCUCCUGCCACAGCUGCGUGAGGAGGAGGUGGGCCACAGCCUGCUUUCUCUCACUGCGCACCAUGAAAGCUCAGCUUUUGCAUUAGUUUUUGUGCGUGAUAGAGACAUAGAGCAACCAGGACUGCCAGCGAUCAGAUCUCUGUGAACAUUCUAGAAGAUCCGAGUGGGGCGCAACCCCAGUGCCCAGCCGGGAAAGCCCUGGUGCGGAUGAAGAUGGGGAAGACCCAGGCAGCCGCGGGGUUUCCGGGGAUGUCUCCCACCUAGGCUGAUUCAACCCAGGCCUCCUGCCCACCAUGCUGCCCUCCCUACCCACUCAGGUUCUCAAGGACAUCAAGGCGGCCACACCACAAUGGAAGACACGCACAGAAAAAGACUUCAGAACUUCCUCAGGUGGUGACAAGAACGAUGGGAGGAGUGUGCUCAAACUCUAGAGUACAGAAACUGUUGCGUUGCCUGUGUAAAGAGCUUUCCCACUCUUCCUCCGUAAAAGCCGAAGGAUGCCUCUGUGAUGCCGUCCUGCGCCAGCCUGCUCCCUGGCCCUGGCCGCUGGACAGGAGCACAGAGCAGGGAAGGGCCCCAGGCCCACGCAGCCCUCGCCCCACGGCCAUCAAAGCCCUUGCUUUGUCAAGGCUCCUGUAAUUUGCUCUCCUUCGUCCCACUUUGUUCUGGGCCGGAGAAGCCCCAGGCGGCCGCUGCAGGCCUGGUCCUGCCCCUGCGGCCCUCUCCUUCCUGCCUUGGCAGGGGACGCAGGGUGCCACCUUCCCACGCCACCAUCUCUGCAG